rnacentral:tRNA from 1 species
UCCCUGGUGGCCCAGUGGUUAGGGUGCUGUGCUUUCACUACAUGGAGCAUGGGUUCGAUCCCUGGUUGGGGAA